rnacentral:rRNA from 1 species
GGUGUUGCGAAUUGCAAGAUUUCGCGAGUCAAUGACCAUCCGAAUGCAUCGCCGCCCUCUCUUCGCCUUCGGGCGGAGGGAGGACGCGUCGGCG